rnacentral:rRNA from 1 species
UUAGAGUUUGAUCCUGGCUCAGGAUGAACGCUAGCGGGAGGCCUAACACAUGCAAGCCGAGCGGUAGAGUCUCUUCGGAGACUUGAGAGCGGCGCACGGGUGCGGAACACGUGUGCAACCUGCCUUUAUCUGGGGGAUAGCCUUUCGAAAGGAAGAUUAAUACCCCAUAAUAUAUUGAAUGGCAUCAUUCGAUAUUGAAAACUCCGGUGGAUAGAGAUGGGCACGCGCAAGAUUAGAUAGUUGGUGAGGUAACGGCUCACCAAGUCUACGAUCUUUAGGGGGCCUGAGAGGGUGAUCCCCCACACUGGUACUGAGACACGGACCAGACUCCUACGGGAGGCAGCAGUGAGGAAUAUUGGACAAUGGGUGAGAGCCUGAUCCAGCCAUCCCGCGUGAAGGACGACGGCCCUAUGGGUUGUAAACUUCUUUUGUAUAGGGAUAAACCUACUCUCGUGAGAGUAGCUGAAGGUACUAUACGAAUAAGCACCGGCUAACUCCGUGCCAGCAGCCGCGGUAAUACGGAGGGUGCAAGCGUUAUCCGGAUUUAUUGGGUUUAAAGGGUCCGUAGGCGGAUCUGUAAGUCAGUGGUGAAAUCUCACAGCUUAACUGUGAAACUGCCAUUGAUACUGCAGGUCUUGAGUGUUGUUGAAGUAGCUGGAAUAAGUAGUGUAGCGGUGAAAUGCAUAGAUAUUACUUAGAACACCAAUUGCGAAGGCAGGUUACUAAGCAACAACUGACGCUGAUGGACGAAAGCGUGGGGAGCGAACAGGAUUAGAUACCCUGGUAGUCCACGCCGUAAACGAUGCUAACUCGUUUUUGGGCUUUCGGGUUCAGAGACUAAGCGAAAGUGAUAAGUUAGCCACCUGGGGAGUACGUUCGCAAGAAUGAAACUCAAAGGAAUUGACGGGGGCCCGCACAAGCGGUGGAUUAUGUGGUUUAAUUCGAUGAUACGCGAGGAACCUUACCAAGGCUUAAAUGGGAAAUGACAGGUUUAGAAAUAGACUUUUCUUCGGACAUUUUUCAAGGUGCUGCAUGGUUGUCGUCAGCUCGUGCCGUGAGGUGUUAGGUUAAGUCCUGCAACGAGCGCAACCCCUGUCACUAGUUGCCAUCAUUAAGUUGGGGACUCUAGUGAGACUGCCUACGCAAGUAGAGAGGAAGGUGGGGAUGACGUCAAAUCAUCACGGCCCUUACGCCUUGGGCCACACACGUAAUACAAUGGCCAGUACAGAGGGCAGCUACACAGCGAUGUGAUGCAAAUCUCGAAAGCUGGUCUCAGUUCGGAUUGGAGUCUGCAACUCGACUCUAUGAGGCUGGAAUCGCUAGUAAUCGCGCAUCAGCCAUGGCGCGGUGAAUACGUUCCCGGGCCUUGUACACACCGCCCGUCAAGCCAUGGAAGUCUGGGGUACCUGAAGUCGGUGACCGUAAAAGGAGCUGCCUAGGGUAAAACAGGUAACUAGGGCUAAGUCGUAACAAGGUAGCCGUACCGGAAGGUGCGGCUGGAUCACCU